GUGGCCAGCCGCCGCGGUAAUACCGGCAGCUCGAGUGAUGUCCAAUAUUAUUGGGCCUAAAGCGUCCGUAGCUGGCCGCGCAAGUCCGUCGGGAAAUCCACCUGCCCAACAGGUGGGCGUCCGGCGGAAACUGUGUGGCUUGGAACCGGAAGGCUCAGAGGGUACGUCCGGGGUAGGAGUGAAAUCCCGUAAUCCCGCACGGACCACCGAUGGCGAAAGCACUUCGAGAAAACGGAUCCGACAGUGAGGGACGAAAGCCAGGGUCUCCAACCGGAUUAGAUACCCGAGUAGUCC
rnacentral:rRNA from 1 species